GGAUGAACGCUGGCGGCGUGCUUAACACAUGCAAGUCGAACGGUGAAGCCAAGCUUGCUUGGUGGAUCAGUGGCGAACGGGUGAGUAACACGUGAGCAACCUGCCCUGGACUCUGGGAUAAGCGCUGGAAACGGCGUCUAAUACUGGAUAUGAGCCUCUUCCGCAUGGUGGGGGUUGGAAAGAUUUUUUGGUCUGGGAUGGGCUCGCGGCCUAUCAGCUUGUUGGUGAGGUAAUGGCUCACCAAGGCGUCGACGGGUAGCCGGCCUGAGAGGGUGACCGGCCACACUGGGACUGAGACACGGCCCAGACUCCUACGGGAGGCAGCAGUGGGGAAUAUUGCACAAUGGGCGAAAGCCUGAUGCAGCAACGCCGCGUGAGGGAUGACGGCCUUCGGGUUGUAAACCUCUUU
rnacentral:rRNA from 1 species